CUCGGCAGGGAGGGGGGGUCCCUCAGGCCAGAUUGCAAGAGGGUGCAGGCCAGGCUGAGGGACCCCACCGGUGCACA
rfam:Myotis lucifugus cont2.32504, whole genome shotgun sequence.